UCCCUCCGAGUGGGGAAUAGAGCCCGCGCCCAAAACCAAAAAAAAAAUCCUACCCUUGAUUCGUGCCCAAAUCUCUCUCUCUCUCUCUCUCAAACUUCCUCCAUUUUCCCUCUUCCAUCAAUCUCCAACAUCGAUUCUCCAACCUGAUCCUCAUCAGCCUCACCGACCCCCAAUUCAACUCAUCUCGAACCCCAAUUCGAGCAAGGCCCCUGUCCCAGAGGACACAAAAUCCAGCCGUUGGAGAAUCUCCGGCAAUUCCAUCUGAAUCUCCAACCAUUCCACCAAAUUCGACUUUGGUAAAAAGCAAAGACUACUUAAGAUAUUUGGGAACUGGUGUGAUAAUGUUGUUGACUUGAUACUAGCGGCGAAUGAGGAACUGGAUUUUCGUCGUGACAUAUAUGAUUGGAUACCCAUUUUUACUUGGGGAAAGGGUCAUGUAACCUUGCUUGGAGAUUCUGUUAAUGCAUUGAUGGUUGCAUGGCUAUUGAGGUACACUUUUUUAAGUAGUCAUGGGCCUUUCCCCUCAUGAGCAGGGUUUGAAGUAUCAGCAGUAACCUGUACAUUUUGCUUGAUACUCAUCAUUUUCUUUGCCCAAUGAUAUGCAUGAGUUGCACAGUUACUUGUCAGUUUAUGAUGGUACUUUUCUUUUUCUUUAAAUUCAUAUCAGUUCAAAUUUUAUGUAUAUUUACCAUUUGCAUGAUGCCAAAGUAUCAUUCCAACUCCUUUUGUUAAAUGAUUCCAAUUUCCAACUCCUUUCCGGAACUAAAAUAAAAAAGCAUGGUAGCACCGUAAAAAAUAACAACUAAAGAAGUCAUCUUACCACCUCCAAAGGAGUUUAUGAAAAAAAAUAUCCCAGAGCCAUCGUUUUUUACUUGAGAAAAACUCAUAUUUGUUAGAAGUUGUUGUGUUUUUGUAAUAAAAAUAAAUUUCAAAAAUAAAAGUUAUUUUUAGAAAGUAAAUAAAUAUAUUAAUUAUUUAAACUUUCCAUAAAUAGUGUGUAUAGCCAGUUGGUAAGAAAAGGGGUUUUUGCUUAUGCAACCAGGGUUCGAAUCUCCUCGAGGACAGUGCGAACGCGCGCACGCAGUGUGGGCUGUAGGGUUGCUUGGGCGCUUUAUUAGGCGCACUUAGCACUUCGCACGUGCGCAUCGUUGCAAGGAGCAAAAAGAGCCUUAGUCUUUUUGGCACAAGGUUCAAACUUUUUGGGCUAUAAUGUAACCAGAAUUGAACUAGGGUUUACCCUGAUGUUUUAUUACCUUUAUGUGUUAAUUAAGAGUAACUGUGACAUGAUUGUAGAUGUGGCACCUAUGCCACGUGUCGUUCAUGUGGAAACAAUAUUGUACUGUUGGAUGACUUUUUCUGUUUAAAAGGAACAGAAAUAACUUUCACAGGACAAAAGGUCAUGUCCUUUCAUGGAAGAAUGUUGUUUGCUGCGAAUGGGUGUGAAUGUCUUGAAGAGGCACAUUGGUAUCUCUUCGGGAAGAGCUCCAUGACUAUUCAAUUGCUAUAAAUCCCGGAUAUGAUAAUCCAGAAAUAUAUUUAUUACAUUCUCUCCAAUUUCAGAUAUAUCAUCCAUUGUGAAGUUCUCUCGAAUCUGAUCUCUUGCUGUGUUUAUUCAAAACUUUUUUUUAAGGCAUAUCGAUGUCAAAACUAGAGAUUUGUUCAACGUUUAAAUGUGCAAAUUUUCGUGUUGAAAUUCGGAUUAAGAGUUCAUUGUAUCCAGAAGACAAUUUGCGGAUUUCUUUUGUUUGCACUUGCUAGAACUACCAGAAAAAGGGCAGCAAAUCUGUCUUGAGAAAUUGACUACUCAAGUCAAGCCUUGAACCCGACAGAUCCGAUCGUCUCAUUAUCUUUUUCCUCUAUCCUCUCUGUGUUCUAGAUUGUUACUUUUCUAACAGAAGUUACUCUACCUUGGUUAUCUCAACACAUGCCCUCAUGAUGGACAUUCCAUAUAACUGAUUGAAUCUUUCCAGUCUAAUCAAUAUGUACCAUCCAUUUUCAUACUGUUCUUACAUAUGGUAUUUUAUUAAUUCCACCUCGUUUUGACUCAAUUACCGUGAUGGGUUUUGGUUUUGUGGCAUUUGGCAUGGAUUCUCCUUAGUGAAUUUGUUUGUAGUUGGCUAGAGGCAAACAUCAUAACUGUCCCAUGGUUCUUUGGAAGCUCCCUAUCUUUUUCCCAUCUUUUAAUUUUCAAAGCUGGAGGCAAACAUCAUAACUAUCUCAUGGUUCUUUGGAAGCUCCCUAUCCUUCUCCCGUCUUGUAAUUUUUUAAGCUGGAGGCAAACAUCAUAACUAUCUUGUUUGUUACAUUCUCAGGGCUCUGAAAAGGACAAGCAGAAAGAGAUUGCUGACAAGGAAGACAGUUAAAAAGCUCUUUCAAAGGAUUCGAAGCAAUGGGGUUUAAGUUGGGUCAUGGAAGUAGAAUGCAGGCUAUGAAGUUGCAAGAUCCUUCUUUGAAGCCAUUGAGUUCUAAGGAAGUUUGUGCAUGUCACAAGUGUUCUCUGAGGUAGCUGAUUCAAUUGCAAGUUUCUUUCCUUUUGUCUUCUAGAAUUUUAUGUGGUUACCCUCGAUUACCAAAGCAUAAUAGGUCCCACAGGUCAAUCAGACCAUUAAAUGGACAAAUCCCAUUGAAUCUGUGGGACCAAACUCCAAUUGAACCGCAAAUAGAUUCCUGAUUUAUAUUCAGGCAGCAAUGGGGUCUACUUGACCCAGUCUGAGGAUCCAAUGGUCCUGCAUCAGUCAGUCACAAAUCCUUUCUUUUGCCAAAACAUUGAGCAAAUGACUCCCUACAUUGACAAGCAGAAUUUUUAAUCUAGUGGCAUGGUUGCAGAUACUAUUGAAUCCAAAGCUCAAUUUCCAACGCUUGCAAAUGGUGAGUUUGACAUUCCUGGAAUCAACUUCAACAAUUACUAGAACAGAGAAAUUCUUUGAGAAAAGUCUCGGAAGCUUUCCAAAGAUUCCUCAACUCCACGUCACAAGUUUCUUUGGCAUGUGCAAACACUCACACCCGACAACCAUCACAUGCACAUGCACACACCACAGCCACUGCUUGUGCUUUUUGGUGUUGUGAAUAUUGUCCCCACUGGAUUUUUGGAAAAAUGGAUGGGCAUUUAUAUUUUUCAAUUGCCAUGAAAGUUGGAGCCACAGCCUCUUGUUGCUGGUAAGGGCAAGAGAAGUAUCUGCUGCCUCCUACAUGGACCUACUUUGAAUUAUGAGCUUUAUAAAAAUCCCAGUAGACAGUUUUCUUUCUACUUUAUGGGUUAUUUCCUUGGCCUCUUUUUAACAUGUUCAUCUUAUUUCAAUUUUCUUCCUUUUUUUCUAUUAUUUUCUCCUUUUUUUUUUAAUCAUAUGGUUGGUGGUUUAAAUGUUAAUAUCAAUAUAAUCACAUAUGAAAACUGAGGAAUGUAUGGAAAAAAGGUAGAGAAAUUCUGUAGAUGCAUGAUGGUACAUCUGCGUUAUCUUGAAAUUCAGACAGUUUCUGGAUUGUGUUGAAGACCAACGGCUUGCAUAAUGUUGAGAUUCUGGAGAUUAGUUGAUAUCAGUCCAAAUCCUGGAUGCUCAUUUCCUUUCUGAUACUCUCUCCGCCAUGGAUUUCCAUUCCGUUUUCUUGGUUUGACACAUACUUGGUUGUUUUCCUUUAUCUCAGGUUCUGCAUAGAAAUUCAGAGACAGUUUGGCGAUGGGAUGAUUGUUGAAGUAGUGAUGAAGAAGGUUUCUGUGGUGCUUGGUUCGCCGCAAUGAUUGUUAAUCCAACUAGGAAGAACAGUUUCCUGGAGUACCAACACUUGAGAACGCAUGAUGAGGCUGAGCUCCUGAAAGAAACUGUGGAUUCCAAUCUCAUCCUGCCCAUCCCUCCUGACACUCCGAAGGUCAAAAGUUUUGCUCGGCUCGAAGAAGUUGAUGCUUGGUACAAUGAGGAGUGCUAUACCAGCCUGUACUGGGCUGAAAUGGCCUGAUAAAGGAUGAUGCAGUGUGAUACUACUUGGUAUUAGUGGUGAACAAUACAAUAUGGAAAAACUGAUUUUUAAACCAUGGGUAUUGCUGCAGAAUGCCAAUUCAAGGAUUCAUGAUGAAAGCUAUGACAAAAGUUUCACACCAUCUACGAACUUGAUGCAAUCCUCCUUUAUCCAGGCUUUGGACCUACAAGUAUUAGCGCAGCUCUGGACAAGCAGCUGCCACCAUCUGCUCCUUUGAGCUGCAAGUAUCACCUCUACAACAGAAUCAUCUGCUCGCAAUGAGGGAUGGGCCACAUACCAGCCAUGGUGAAAGGGUGUUGUUGAUGUCUUUGAAGGCUGGAGGUGUAGGCUUGAAUCUGACUGUAGCAUCUAAUGUGUUUUUAAUGGAUCCGUGGUGGAAUCUGGCAGUUGAGGAGCAAGCAAUCAUGCGAAUUGACUGUAUUGGUCGGAAACGAAAGGUGUGCGUUGGGCAAUUCAUGGUCAAGGUAAAUUUGACUUGUCAUACCUGAGCAUAAGCCCUGUUCCUACUCAUUGUAGAUCUAGCUUUUUACAGAGACCCCAUUAAAGAAAAAUCCUUUGUUGAUUCAUUUCUCAUGAAAUUUACAAAUCUACUUGGGCAGGAUUCCUCACGUCUGCAAAUGAUGAUAUGUUCUUCUUUUGUACUUCUCAUCUUGUCUUGAAUGCUUUGUACUGUCAUAUAAUAUCUAUUGUAGUCUAUGACUGCCUAGCUGAAGUUCUUAGGAGAUUCUGAUGUAAAUUUAUCAAAAUAUACAUUUAGGUUGUGGCCUUUGA